rnacentral:rRNA from 1 species
CAGCCGCCACGGGAAUACGGAGGAUCCAAGCGUUAUCCGGAUUUAUUGGGUUUAAAGGGUGCGUAGGCGGCCUAUUAAGUCAGGGGUGAAAGACGGUAGCUCAACUAUCGCAGUGCCUUUGAUACUGAUAGGCUUGAAUGUACUUGAAGUGGGCGGAAUGUGACAAGUAGCGGUGAAAUGCAUAGAUAUGUCACAGAACACCGAUUGCGAAGGCAGCUCACUAAAGUAUGAUUGACGCUGAGGCACGAAAGCGUGGGGAUCAAACAGGAUUAGAUACCCGUGUAGUCCCUGUCUCUUAUAC